rnacentral:tRNA from 1 species
AAGGGGGUAGUUUAUAUGAAAAUUCAGAUUUGUCAAGUCUAGGAAGCCUAUGGGUUCCCCUUA